rnacentral:rRNA from 1 species
AUUGAACGCUGGCGGCAGGCCUAACACAUGCAAGUCGAACGAGUGGCGGACGGGUGAGUAAUGUCUGGGAAACUGCCUGAUGGAGGGGGAUAACUACUGGAAACGGUAGCUAAUACCGCAUACCAUCAGAUGUGCCCAGAUGGGAUUAGCUAGUUGGUGGGGUAACGGCUCACCAAGGCGACGAUCCCUAGCUGGUCUGAGAGGAUUACCAGCCACACUUGUACUGAUCCACGGUCCAGACGUCUCCGGUAGGCAGCUGUGUGGAAUAUUGCUCAAUUGGCUCAAGCUUGAGGCUGCCGUGCCGUGUGUAUGAAGUCGGCCUUCGUGUUGUAAAGUACUUUCAGCGGGGAGGCGUUACCCGCAGAAGAAGCACCGGCUAACUCCGUGCCAGCAGCCGCGGUAAUUC